rnacentral:rRNA from 1 species
ACCCGCUGAAUUUAAGCAUAUAAGUGAGUGGAGGAUCAUAAAUUAAACACGUUUUCCUUAGUAAUGGCGAAUGAACAGGAACUGGUGCACCAUGGAAAACAGAGCUGCUUGCUCUGGCUUGCAAUCGCAAGAUGUACUAGCAACCAAGGUGCACGUGUGGGCCUUUUGGAAAAGAGCAUACACACAGGUGAGAAUCCCAUGUUCCGCGUGCAAUCCCCUGGUGCAUGGUAUACAUUCUCAGAGUCGUGCUUCUUGGGCAUGCAGCGCGAAAUGGGUGGUAGGCUUCAUCUAACGCUUCGCAUCGGCUUGAGACCGAUAGCAAACAAGUACUAUGAAGGGAAGGUGAACAAGGACUUUGGCAAGAAAGUUAAAUGUGCUUGAACUUGCUGAAUGGAAAGUGGGUGCAACCUGUGUGACUGAUUGAGAUUGUUGCGUGCCGUAGCUACAACUUCUUGCGCUAUACAAUUAGUGUGGCAAGUAUUGAGUUGGAUGCAUGCAAUGCUUCUCCCUCGUUGUCAGCCAAUGCCAGUCUACGUGUGGGAAAACAAAAAUGGCACUGUAGCCUACCCCAGAGUAGGCGGGCGUGCCAACAUGUGCUCACAUAUACACAUGCCACUGGCAACAUGCUUCCACCCGGCCCGUCUUGAAACACGGACCAAGGAGUCUAACACACAUGCGAGUCCGUGCGUGCGGAAACCUGUGUGCAAAAUGAAAGUGUUUGCUUGGAUGUCUGCACAAGCAACUGACCGAUCAAUUGAGUGAGGUUUGAGUGUGAGCAAGUUUAUUAGGCCCCGAAAGAUGGUGAACUAUGCCUGUGCAGGGCAAUUCCAGAGGAAACUCUGAUGGAGGCCCGCAGCGAUACUGACGUGCAAAUCGUUCGUCGCACAUGGGUAUAGGGGCGAAAGACUAAUCGAACCAUCUAGUAGCUGGUCCCGUCCGAAGUUUCCCUCAGGAUAGCUGGAGUUGAACAGUUUCACCAGGUAAAGCAAUGGUUGGAGGACUCAGGGGCGCGCUGUCCUUGACCUACUCUCAAACUUUAAAUGGGUGAGUACCAGUGACUACUUGGGUGAGCUUCUGGGCUACAUGGCGACUCCAAGUGGACCAUUUUUGGUAAGCAGA